AUGGUUAAUGCAAUCAAGGGGCUGUUCAUCUCCUGUGAUAUACCGAUGGCUCAGUUCAUUGUCAAUAUGAAUGCGUCAAUGCCCGCAUCGGAGAAGUUCAUCAUGCACAUUCUUGACCCCACACACAUGUUCAUCCAGCCUAAUAUGGGAGAUUACAUCAAAAGUAAGAUGGCGGAGUUCAGAGACCAGAACAGCUAUGAGAAGCCAACGUGA
rnacentral:rRNA from 1 species